rnacentral:rRNA from 1 species
GAUGAACGCUGGCGGCGUGCUUAACACAUGCAAGUCGAACGAUGAUGCCCAGCUUGCUGGGUGGAUUAGUGGCGAACGGGUGAGUAACACGUGGGUGAUCUGCCUCGUACUUCGGGAUAAGCCUGGGAAACUGGGUCUAAUACCGGAUAGGACUGCAUCGUAAGGGUGUGGUGGAAAGUUUUUUCGGUACGAGAUGAGCCUGCGGCCUAUCAGCUUGUUGGUGGGGUAAUGGCCUACCAAGGCGUCGACGGGUAUCCGGCCUGAGAGGGUGUACGGACACAUUGGGACUGAGAUACGGCCCUGACUCCUACGGGAGGCAGCAGUGGGGAAUAUUGCACAAUGGGCGAAAGCCUGAUGCAGCGACGCCGCGUGGGGGAUGACGGCCUUCGGGUUGUAAACUCCUUUCGUCAGGGACGAAGCCCUUCGGGGUGACGGUACCUGGAUAAGAAGCACCGGCUAACUACGUGCCAGCAGCCGCGGUAAUACGUAGGGUGCGAGCGUUGUCCGGAAUUACUGGGCGUAAAGAGCUCGUAGGUGGUUUGUCGCGUCGUCUGUGAAAUUCCGGGGCUCAACUCCGGAUGGGCAGGCGAUACGGGCAUAACUUGAGUGCUGUAGGGGAGACUGGAAUUCCUGGUGUAGCGGUGAAAUGCGCAGAUAUCAGGAGGAACACCGAUGGCGAAGGCAGGUCUCUGGGCAGUUACUGACGCUGAGGAGCGAAAGCAUGGGUAGCGAACAGG